GUGCCAGCAGCCGCGGUAAUACGGAGGAUCCGAGCGUUAUCCGGAUUUAUUGGGUUUAAAGGGUGCGCAGGCGGGUAUAUAAGUCAGAGGUGAAAUUCUACGGCUCAACUGUAGAACUGCCUUUGAUACUGCAUAUCUAGAGUAUAUUUGGAGUGGGCGGAAUGUAGCAUGUAGCGGUGAAAUGCUUAGAUAUGCUACAGAACACCGAUCGUGAAGACAGCUCACUAAACUAUAACUGACGCUCAGGCACGAAAGCGUGGGGAGCAAACAGGAUUAGAUACCCUCGUAGUCC
rnacentral:rRNA from 1 species